rnacentral:rRNA from 1 species
AUUGAACGCUGGCGGCAUGCCUUACACAUGCAAGUCGAACGGCAGCGGACCUUCGGGUGCCGGCGAGUGGCGAACGGGUGAGUAAUAUAUCGGAACGUAUCUUUCAGUGGGGGAUAACGUAGCGAAAGUUACGCUAAUACCGCAUAUUCUGUGAGCAGGAAAGCAGGGGAUCGCAAGACCUUGCGCUGAUUGAGCGGCCGAUAUCAGAUUAGCUAGUUGGUGAGGUAAAGGCUCACCAAGGCGACGAUCUGUAGCGGGUCUGAGAGGAUGAUCCGCCACACUAGAACUGAGACACGGUCCAGACUCCUACGGGAGGCAGCAGUGGGGAAUUUUGGACAAUGGGCGCAAGCCUGAUCCAGCCAUGCCGCGUGAGUGAAGAAGGCCU